AACGAACGCUGGCGGCAUGCCUAACACAUGCAAGUCGAACGAGUGGCGCACGGGUGCGUAACGCGUGGGAACCUGCCUUUAGGUUCGGAAUAACUCAGAGAAAUUUGAGCUAAUACCGGAUACCUUUAGAUGGGCCCGCGUUAGAUUAGAUAGUUGGUGGGGUAACGGCCUACCAAGUCGACGAUCUAUAGCUGGUCUGAGAGGAUGAUCAGCCACACUGGGACUGAGACACGGCCCAGACUCCUACGGGAGGCAGCAGUGGGGAAUAUUGGACAAUGGGCGAAAGCCUGAUCCAGCAAUGCCGCGUGAGUGAUGAAGGCCUUAGGGUUGUAAAGCUCUUUUACCAGGGAUGCAGUACCUGGAGAAUAAGCUCCGGCUAACUCCGUGCCAGCAGCCGCGGUAAUAC
rnacentral:rRNA from 1 species